rnacentral:rRNA from 1 species
AAAGCUCUUUCGCAAGGGAAGAAAACUUAGCCGUUAAUACCGGCUGAGGCUGACGGUACCUUGAUAAGAAGCACCGGCUAACUACGUGCCAGCAGCCGCGGUAAUACGUAGGGUGCGAGCGUUAAUCGGAAUUACUGGGCGUAAAGCGUGCGCAGGCGGUCUUGCAAGUCAGAUGUGAAAUCCCCGGGCUCAACCUGGGAACUGCGUUUGAAACUACAAGGCUAG